rnacentral:rRNA from 1 species
UGGGGAAUCUUGGACAAUGGGGGCAACCCUGAUCCAGCCAUGCCGCGUGAGUGAUGAAGGCCUUAGGGUCGUAAAGCUCUUUCGCCUGUGAAGAUAAUGACGGUAGCAGGUAAAGAAACCCCGGCUAACUCCGUGCCAGCAGCCGCGGUAAUACGGAGGGGGUUAGCGUUGUUCGGAAUUACUGGGCGUAAAGCGCACGUAGGCGGACCAGAAAGUUGGGGGUGAAAUCCCGGGGGCUCAACCCCGGAACUGCCUCCAAAACUAUUGGUCUAGAGUUCGAGAGAGGUGAGUGGAAUUCCAAGUGUAGAGGUGAAAUUCGUAGAUAUUUGGAGGAACACCAGUGGCGAAGGCGGCUCACUGGCUCGAUACUGACGCUGAGGUGCGAAAGUGUGGGGAGCAAACAGGAUUAGAUACCCUGGUAGUCCACACCGUAAAACGAUGAAUGCCAGUCGUCGGGUAGCAUGCUAUUCGGUGACACACCUAACGGAUUAAGCAC